rnacentral:rRNA from 1 species
UGAGUAACCUGCCCUCCACUCUGGGAUAAGCACGGGAAACCGGGUCUAAUACCGGAUAUGACCUGUCACCGCAUGGUGGGGGGUGGAAAGCUUUUGUGGUUUUGGAUGGACUCGCGGCCUAUCAGCUUGUUGGUGAGGUAAUGGCUCACCAAGGCGACGACGGGUAGCCGGCCUGAGAGGGUGACCGGCCACACUGGGACUGAGACACGGCCCAGACUCCUACGGGAGGCAG